rnacentral:lncRNA from 1 species
GCGUUUUGGAGGUUCCUCACGCUGGGUGCCUUAUUGGGCAUCAGGUAGCCAGGUGGCAUCAAGGACAUCCUUGAUACCUGGCACCCACAUGGCAUUGGGGACAUCCCUGGCACCAGGCACCCUGCUGGGCACCCACGUGGCAUCGGGGGCAUCUCUGGGCACCCAUGUGACAUUGGGGACAUCCCUGGCACCGGGCACCCUGCUGGGCACUGGACACCCAUGUGGCACUGGGGACAUCCCUAGACACUGCGCACCCACAUGACACUGGGGACAUCCCUGGGCACUGGGCACCCAUGUGACACUGGGGACAUCCCUGGCACCAGGCACCCAUGUGGCACUAGGGACAUCCCUGGGCACUGGGCACCCACGUGAUAUUGGGGACAUCCCUGACACUGGACACCCACAUGGCACUGGGGACAUCCCUGGGCACUAGGCACCUACAUGACACUGGGGACAUCCCUGGGCAGUGGGCACCCAUGUGACAUUGGGGACAUCCUUGGCACCAGGCACCCUGCUGGGCACCGGGCACCCAUGUGACACUGGGCACCCACGCGACUUUGGGGACAUCCCUGGCACCAGGCACCCUGCUGGGCACUGGGCACCCAUGUGACACUGGUGACAUCGCUGACACCAGGCACCCACAUGGCACUGGGGACAUCCCUGGGUACUGGGCAUCUUGCUGGGCACCAGGCACCCAUGUGGCAUUGGGGACAUCCAUGGCACCAAACACCCUGCUGGGCCCUGGGCACCCAAGUGACAUUGGGGACAUGCCUGGGCAGCCACGUGACAUUGGAGACAUCCCUGAGCACUGGGCACCCACGUGGCACCGGGGCCACCCCUGACCCCAGGCACCCCACCAGUCACCGAGCACCCACGUGGCACCAGGGCCACCCCUAGCACCGGUACCGAUACAGCGCUGGCCACACCGCUGCCACCGGUCACCCCCGUGGGCACACCGGGGUGGCCCGAGGCACCCGCACCGCCCAGCCUCCGCCGUCCCCCACGUCCCCGUCGGCGUGGCGGGGCCCGGUGACACCCGCUGCCCGCCCGGGACGUGGCACCCGCCGCCGGGGACUCACGCGAGGGUCGCAGAUCUGCGAGCAGUAGCCGUAGAUGGCGCGGGCCCGGUCGAUCUCGCCCAGCUUGCACUCCAUGUCGGCGAAGCGCAGGCACAUCUCCCGGGCGUGCUCGUCGGCCAGCACCUGCGGGUGCCCGCUCAGCACCCAUGGGUGCAGCCCCGGGGCCGCGCGCCCGCCCCGCGCCCAUGCGACGGCCCCCCAAACCUUGGAUGCGCCCCGUACCCACGUGAUGUUCCCCCAAGUCUUGUAUCCAUCUCGGACCCGUGUGAGGUCCCUCAGACCGUGCCCACGUGGCACCCAAGGGACGUGCACCCACCCUGCACCCAUGUGAUGUCACCCCAAGCCUUGCAUCCAUCUGUACCCAUGUGAGGUCCCUCAGACCAUGCUCAUGCAGCACCCAAGGGUCAUGCACCCACCCCGCACCUAUAUGAUGUCACCCCAAAACUUGCACCCACCCCAUACUCACAUGACGUCCCCAAGACCAAGCCCAAUGCGAGGUCCCUCAGACCAGGCCCAUGUGGCACCCAAGGGCCAUGCACCCGCCCUGCACCCACGUGACGUCCCCCAAACCUCGUACCCACCCCAUACCCACGUGACGUCCCCAAGACCGAGCCCACACGGCGCCGCCAGACUGCCCCCCUGCCCGCAGCACCCGAGGGCACCCACCUCGAUGGCCUUCUCGUAGAUGGGCCGGGUGUGGGUGACGCCGUAGAUCUCGGCCGCCCGCUUGAUGUAGAUGUUGAACAUGUCGUACUGCUCGGUGGGCAGCACGGCCCGCGUCGCCCGCUCGUACACGGCCAUGGCGUGGCGCGCCAGCCCAAAGUCCUCCUCCAGCUUGGCGUACAGCAGGUAGAUGGCUGCGGGCACCCAUGGGUGCUCAGCCGGGGGCAUCCGGCUCGGGGGGGGGGGGGGGGGGGGUCUGCCCCGAUGCUUGCCCAAGGCCAAGCCCAGCUGGGGGUCUGCCUCAACGCCCACCCGUGGGUGUCCAGCUGGGGGGCUGCCCCGACGCUUGCCCGGGGCACCCUGCGUGUCACCCGUGGGUGCCAGGCUGGGCAUCUGCCCCAAUGACUGCCCAAGACACCCAGAGGUGCACCCAUAGGUUCUUGGCUGGGCGUCUGCCCCAAUGACUGCCCAAGACACCCAGAGAUGCACCCACGGGUGCCCGGCUGGGGGUCUGCCCCGCUGCUUGCCCAGGGCACCCUGCGUGUCACCCGUGGGUGCUCGGCUGGGUGUCUGUCCCAGUGACCACCCAAGACACCUGGAGAUGCACCCACGGGUACCCAGCUGGGGGUCUGCCCCAAUGCUUGCCCAGGGCACCCUGCAUGUCACCCGUGGGUGCUCAGCUGGGAGUCCGCCCCAAUGACCGCCC